rnacentral:tRNA from 1 species
AAUUAAGAAGUGAAGUUUAUCACAUCCAGUUUCGACCUGGAUUUUGGUUAUAGGCAACCCUUAGUUA